CAAGCCUGGUGUGCUGGCCCCUCUCAGAAGAUCAGACUUCUGGAAUCGAUUUGGGUUCAGAAUUGCAUUACCGAAGGAAUGCCGAGUAUGCGCAGGCCUUGAUGGCUCGUGAACCACACUUCCUGGAGCUGGCCACAAGCCAGCACCGAGACCAUCAGCAUCUUAAAAAUGAAUUCUUUAUGAGACAAAGAACAAACCACCCAAUUUCUGAAAUCACUGAAGUGGAAAGCUUGUCUCCUGUUUUCCUCUGCUUCCUGAUUCGCACCACGUGGACACCCUUGCAUUUUUCUACUGCCACCGACUAAGCAAGUCCCCACCAUGAUGACCUCCAGCCUCUGGAACUUGAAGUCUUCAGGUCGCACUUUGUCACAGCAACAAGUCUGAACCCUUCUGUGGGUCUUCCAUCACACAACCCAGAAGCCUCCGUCAUACCCUCUGCUGCUUCGUCAAGCCCCUGACUCCCAAAUGUGUUUCUGGUCCAUAGCCUGAGUCCCCCCCUCCCACCACCUGGAACUGACGUUAUUGACUCCACAUUUGUCACAGCCAUAUUUACAUGAUGAGCAUGACAGGAAUCGCGGCCUCUCUAGACUCAUCUUAAAUGACACAGGGACGCUGUACACCCAAGGCACAGACAGGGUAGAAUGGUAAGUGAGGAACUCGUCCAGUGGCAAUAGGAGUCCAAAGCAAAGGCUUUGAGCUUCUCUCUGAGAAGUGAUAUUUGUGUUAGGCUCUCCUUUAGAGUUAAGAUGAGGGAUUCUCAAGAGGGAAAAUCAUGUUUUCAAAAGGACACCGUUUUUCUCUAGUGAGCCUGUCUGUACAAUUUACGGGUGCUUGGGGCAAAUAUUUUAUGUGUCAUUGCGGUAGGGCUAUCUUUAGCUCUGUCGAAUGCUGUCUUGCAAACGUCUUUGGCCUAUAUGUUAAUCUUUUCCUGCUGGAGUUCUUAAGUGGCAAACAACGGCUAGGUUAUAAAAGAGUCUACUCUCCAAAAUCAGAGAGAGUUAAGUG